UAUUCUGCCCUACAGGGAAGGAUGAGAAGCUUCGACUAAGGUUCGACUCGAGCGAAGCGAGAGAACGUUGCCGCAGGCAACGGCCCGAAGGGCGAGGUGCUUUAGCGCCGAGUAAUCCUUCCCCCACCACCA
rnacentral:sRNA from 1 species